rnacentral:rRNA from 1 species
GACGUAGGGCGCGAGCGUUGUCCGGAUUUAUUGGGCGUAAAGAGCUCGUAGGCGGCUUGUUGCGUCGGCUGUGAAAACCCGCGGCUUAACCGCGGGCUUGCAGCCGAUACGGGCGGGCUGGAGUUCGGUAGGGGAGACUGGAAUUCCUGGUGUAGCGGUGAAAUGCGUAGAUAUCGUUUGGAACGCCAAAGGUGAAAACAGGUCGCUGGGGAUGAGCUGACGCUGAGACACGAAAGCCAGGGGAGCAA